UACGUAGGGGGCGAGCGUUGUCCGUAGUUACUGGGCGUAAAGCGCUUGUAGGCGGUCCACCAAGUUUGGGGUGACAGUUGCCGACUUAACCGGCAAAGUGCCUCAAAGACUGGCGGACUUGAGGGCCACAGAGGGACAUGGAACUCCAGGUGUAGUGGUGAAAUGCGUAGAUAUCUGGAAGAACACCAAAGGCGAAGGCAGUGUCCUGGGUGGUCGCUGACGCUGAGAGGCGAAAGCCAGGGGAGCGAACGGG
rnacentral:rRNA from 1 species